UAAAACCAGCACCUCAAGUGGUCAGGAUGAUUAUUGGGCCUAAAGCACCCGUAGCCGGCUCUGUAAGUUUUCGGUUAAAUCUGUACGCUUAACGUACAGGCUGCUGGAAAUACUGCAAGGCUAGGGAGUGGGAGAGGUAGACGGUACUCGGGAGGAAGUGGUAAAAUGCUUUGAUCUCUCGAUGACACCUGUGGCGAAGGCGGUCUACCAGAACACGUCCGACGGUGAGGGAUGAAAGCUGGGGGAGCAAACCGGAUUAGAUACCCGGGUAGUCCCAGCUGUAAACUAUGCAAACUCAGUGAUGCACUGGCUUGUGGCCAGUGCAGUGUUGCAGGGAAGCCGUUAAGUUUGCCGCCUGGGAAGUACGUACGCAAGUAUG
rnacentral:rRNA from 1 species